UCAAAAACAUGUCCUUUUGUUAAUAAUUUAAGGUCUGACCUGCCCAAUGAAUAUUUAAAUGGCCGCAGUAUUUUGACUGUGCAAAGGUAGCAUAAUCAUUAGUUUUUUAAUUGUAAGCUGGAAUGAAUGGUUUGAUGAGAAAAUAACUGUCUCAAUUUAAUUGUUUUAGAAUUUUAAUUUUAAGUGAAAAAGCUUAAAUUUUAAAGGAAGACGAGAAGACCCUAUAGAGUUUAAUAUUUCUAUAUUAUGAUUGGUUUUAGAUUUGUUUAAAAUUUUGAUAUGGAGUUAUUUUAUUGGGGUGAUAUUAAAAUUUGAUAAACUUUUAAUUUAUUAUAACAUUUUUUUGUGAUUAUUUGAUCCUAAUUUUAAGAUUAUAAGAUAAAAUUACCUUAGGGAUAACAGCGUAAUUUUUUUUAAGAGUUCUUAUCGAAAAAAAAGUUUGCGACCUCGAUGU
rnacentral:rRNA from 1 species